rnacentral:rRNA from 1 species
GACAGAGGAUGCAAGCGUUAUCCGGAAUGAUUGGGCGUAAAGCGUCUGUAGGCGGCUUUUUAAGUCUGCCGUCAAAUCCCAGGGCUUAACCCUGGACAGGCGGUGGAAACUACCAAGCUGGAGUACGGUAGGGGCAGAGGGAAUUUCCGGUGGAGCGGUGAAAUGCGUAGAGAUCGGAAAGAACACCAACGGCGAAGGCACUCUGCUGGGCCGACACUGACACUGAGAGACGAAAGCUAGGGGAGCAAAUGGG